GGGGGGGGGGAGCCAGCGCUGCCGGGACACGACGGGGUUAAGCUGGGUCGGCCGCCAUUUUGGAUGGCGGGGAGGAGCUGCUCAGUCAAAUUGGAAGACGGUGGAGGAGAAACAUCUGGUUCGUUGAAUGCAUGGGAAAGCUUACAUAGCAGUGGGAGUAAGUGGAAGAAGACCAAAAAACAGAGAUCAUCAAAUGCACACAGGCAAAUAACAAGGCAAAUAAAGCACACAGUGUCAGUGAGUCACAAA